rnacentral:snoRNA from 2 species
GACCUCCCAGGAUGGCACCUUAAGAUUGCCAGCUUUGGAGAUGGGAGGGGAAGCAAGCCUGACAGAGGUUCCCAUUCCCAGCUUGCUCAGUAGCUGGCAAUUGGAAGACACUGCAAAAAUG